rnacentral:rRNA from 1 species
UACGUAGGGUGCGAGCGUUGUCCGGAAUUACUGGGUGUAAAGGGAGCGCAAGCGGGUUGGUAAGUCAAUGGUGAAAACGCGGAGCUUAACUCCGACGAUGCCAUUGAUACUACCAAUCUUGAGUGCAAAAGAGGAAGAUGGAAUUCCUGGUGUAGCGGUGAAAUGCGUAGAUAUCAGGAAGAACACCGGUGGCGAAGGCGGUCUUCUGGUCUGCAACUGACGCCCGGGCUCGAAAGCGUGGGGAG